rnacentral:rRNA from 1 species
AACUUUCAACAACGGAUCUCUUGGCUCUCACAUCGAUGAAGAACGCAGCGAAAUGCGAUACGUAAUGUGAAUUGCAGAAUUCAGUGAAUCAUCGAAUCUUUGAACGCACCUUGCGCCCCUUGGCAUUCCGAGGGGCACACCCGUUUGAGUGUCGUGAAAUCAUCAAAACCUUCUCUUUGACCCUCUUUGGUCGGGAAAAGGAUUUUUGGACUUGGAGGUUCCAUGCUCGCCUUCACUUUUGAAAGCGAGCUCCUCUCAAAUGAAUUAGUGGGGUCCGCUUUGCUGGUCCUUGACGUGAUAAGAUGUUUCUACGUUUUGGAUUUAGCACUGUCCCUUGGAUGCCUGCUCCUAACCGUCUCACGGACNAUGAUGGUGCUCUGGUCACUGCCAUCUACAUUGGCGGGAGGCUGGACCCACAAAAGAAAACCUUGA